rnacentral:rRNA from 1 species
AGUGAAAGAGAACCUGAAACCCUGUGUUUACAAGCUGUCGGAGCACGAUAAGUGCGACGGCGUACUUUUUGUAGAACGGUCCGGCGAGUUAUGAUACGCGGUAAGGUUAAGGACUUAAGGUCCGGAGCCGAAGCGAAAGCGAGUGUUAAGAGCACGAGGAAUCACGUAUCAUAGACCCGAAACCGGGUGAUCUAUCCAUGUCCAGGAUGAAGCUGCCGUAAGAGGUAGUGGAGGUCCGAACACACAUCCGUUGAAAAGGGUGGUGAUGAGGUGUGGAUAGGGGAGAAAUUCCAAUCGAACCCGGAGAUAGCUGGUUCUCCUCGAAAUAGCUUUAGGGCUAGCCUCAUGGAUCAUUGGUGGGGGUAGAGCACUGAAUGUGCGCGGGGGCCACAAAGCCUACCAAACGCUAUCAAACUUCGAAUACCAUACAAUGCAGACCAUGGGAGUCAGUCCGCGAGAGAUAAGUUCCGCGGGCAAAAGGGGAACACCCCAGAUCAACCGCUAAGGUCCCCAAGUUCACGUUAAGUGGAGAAGGAUGUGGAAUUGCACAGACAACCAGGAUGUUGGCUCAGAAGCAGCCACACAUUUAAAGAGUGCGUAAUAGCUCACUGGUCGAGUGAUUGUGCGCCGAAGAUGUCCGGGGCUAAACGUGACACCGAAGCGAUGGGUGCGUCUGAAGAAGAUGCGCGGUAGAGGAGCAAUGUGCAGAGGCAGAAGCCGUAUCGAGAGGCACGGUGGACACUGCACAAGAGAGAAUGCCGGUAUGAGUAGCGAGAGGCAUGCGAGAAACAUGCCCGUCGAAAGCCCAAGGUUUCCUGGGGAAGGUUCAUCCGCCCAGGGUAAGUCGGGGCCUAAGCCGAGGACGGAAGUCGUAGGCGAUGGACAGCAGGUGUAGAUUCCUGCACUACCGAUGGAAUGAAGCAGUGACACAGAAGGAUAACUCGAGCAGGGUGAUGGUCAACCCUGUGCAAGCAUCAAGGUUGGGUUGUAGUGAAGUACGCAAUCCUAUAAGCUGAGGUGUGAUGCGGACCGAAAUUUCAGUAGGGAAGCGAGUGAGUUCACGCUGGCGAGAAAAGCUGCUAGUACAUCCAAAGGUACCCGUACCGGAAACCGACGCAGGUGGGCGAGGAGAGAAUCCUGAGACGAACGGGAGAACCCUUGUUAAGGAACUCGGCAAAAUGACCCCGUAACUUCGGGAUAAGGGGUGCCUGCGAGAGCAGGCCGCAGAGAAUAGUCACAAGCGACUGUUUAGCAAAAACACAGGUAUCUGCGAAAGCGAGAGCUGACGUAUAGGUGCUGACACCUGCCCGGUGCUGGAAGGUUAAGGGAACAUGUUAGAGCAAUCGAAGCAUCGAACCGAAGCCCCAGUAAACGGCGGCCGUAACUAUAACGGUCCUAAGGUAGCGAAAUUCCUUGUCGGGUAAGUUCCGACCCGCACGAAUGGUGUAACGACUUGUGAGCUGUCUCAACAGGGGGCCCGGUGAAAUUGAAGUAUGGGUGAAGAUGCCCAUUACCCGCGACUGGACGGAAAGACCCCGUAGAGCUUUACUGCAGCCUGAUAUUGAGUUUCGGUAACUGAUGCACAGGAUAGGUGGGAGUCUGAGAGACAUGGGUUUCGGCUCAUGUGGAGACGGUGUUGGGAUACCACUCUUCGGUUACUGAAAUUCUAACAUAGCUCUGUGAAACCAGAGGAUGGACAGUGUCAGGUGGACAGUUUGACUGGGGCGGUCGCCUCCGAAAGAGUAACGGAGGCGCCCAAAGGUACCCUCAGAAUGGAUGGAAACCAUUCGAAGAGCGCAAAGGCAGAAGGGUGCCUGACUGCGAGAUUGACAAAUCGAGCAGAGACGAAAGUCGGGCUUAGUGAUCCGGCGGUAUUGAGUGGAAAAGCCGUCGCUUAACGGAUAAAAGCUACCUCGGGGAUAACAGGCUGAUCUCCCCCAAGAGUCCACAUCGACGGGGAGGUUUGGCA